rnacentral:lncRNA from 1 species
GGUUUUUCCAAUGGGGUCCACACUGACUUCCCAAUGACCCGACAGGACCACCCAGUUUGAUAUUUGGUUCAUAGAAUGGAGGGCCUACAGAACGGGAGAAAACUUUGCCAGCUACUCUUCUGAUGGGAUUAAUAUUCAGAAUACAUAAAGAAGUAAAAAAAUCAAGGAAAAAAUCAAGACGUGGGUGGAAGAUCUAAACAGAAAUAGGUAUGCCUAACAAAUACAUGAAGCAGUGUCCAACAUCUUUAGCGAUUAGGAAAAUGAAAAUCCAAACUGUACUGAAAUUUCAUCUUGCUCUAGUCAGAAUGGCAAUUAUCAAGAAUAACUGAUGGUGAGGAUGUAGGGGGAAAGGUACACUCAUAUAUAUAUUUGGUGGGACUGCAAAAUUAGUAUGACCAUUUGGGAAAGUAAUGUAGACUUUCCCCAAAAGACUAGGAAUGGAACCAUCAUAUGACCCAGCUAUCCCGCGCCUUGGUAUUUAUCCAAAAGAACUAAAGCCAGCAUUGUGUAAAGAUUUAGCCACAUCAGUUUUACAGCAGCACAACUCACAUUAUGGAAUUAGCCUAGGUGCUGUCAAUAAAUGAAUGGAUAAAGAAAAUGUGGUAUGUAUGUAUACACAAUGGAGUUUUACUCAGCCAUGAAGAAUAAUGAAAUUAUGGCUGAUGUUUGCUAGUAAAUGGAUGGAACUGGAGAACAUCAUGCUAAGUGAAAUAAAUCUGAUUCAGAAAGUCAAAGGCUGAAUGUUUUCUCUCCUAUUGUGAAAGGUAGACAGGAAAAGAGAAAAGGAAUGAAAAGGGAUCUCAUGAAAAUGGAAGGGAGACCAAUAGAGUAG